rnacentral:rRNA from 1 species
AUUGAACGCUGGCGGCAGGCCUAACACAUGCAAGUCGAACGGUAGCACAGAGAGCUUGCUCUCGGGUGACGAGUGGCGGACGGGUGAGUAAUGUCUGGGAAACUGCCCGAUGGAGGGGGAUAACUACUGGAAACGGUAGCUAAUACCGCAUAAUGUCGCAAGACCAAAGAGGGGGACCUUCGGGCCUCUUGCCAUCGGAUGUGCCCAGAUGGGAUUAGCUAGUUGGUGAGGUAAUGGCUCACCAAGGCGACGAUCCCUAGCUGGUCUGAGAGGAUGACCAGCCACACUGGAACUGAGACACGGUCCAGACUCCUACGGGAGGCAGCAGUGGGGAAUAGUGCACAAUGGGCGCAAGCCUGAUGCAGCCAUGCCGCGUGUAUGAAGAAGGCCUUCGGGUUGUAAAGUACUUUCAGCGGGGAGGAAGGCGAUACGGUUAAUAACCGUAUUGAUUGACGUUACCCGCAGAAGAAGCACCGGCUAACUCCGUG